UACGGAGGGUGCAAGCGUUGUCCGGAAUCAUUGGGUGUAAAGGGUGCGCAGGCUGGCGCCUAAGUCUGAGGUGAAAUCUUGCCGCUUAACGGUAAAAUUGCCUUGGAUACUGGGUGUCUUGAAUCUGACAGAGGUCGGUGGAAUUCGUAGUGUAGCGGUGAAAUGCAUAGAUAUUACGAAGAACACCAGUGGCGAAGGCGGCCGGCUGGGUCAGUAUUGACGCUGAGGCACGAGAGCGUGGGGAGCGAACAGG
rnacentral:misc_RNA from 1 species